rnacentral:rRNA from 1 species
ACGCUCGACACCUACUGGAGGCAGCAGUGGGGAAUAUUGCACAAUGGGGGAAACCCUGAUGCAGCGACGCCGCGUGAGUGAAGAAGUAUUUCGGUAUGUAAAGCUCUAUCAGCAGGGAAGAAAAUGACGGUACCUGAGUAAGAAGCCCCGGCUAACUACGUGCCAGCACGCCGCGGUAAUCUGAGCGGGCUGGACAGGC